UCCCUGGUGGCUCAGAUGGUCAAGCGUCUGCCUGCAACGCGGGAGACCCGGGUUCAAUCCCUGGGUUGGGAA
rfam:TPA: Bos taurus chromosome 3, whole genome shotgun sequence.